UACGGAGGGUGCAAACGUUGCUCGGAAUCAUUGGGCGUAAAGCGCACGUAGGCGGCCGAUUAAGUCGGAUGUGAAAGCCCUGGGCUCAACCCAGGAAGUGCAUACGAAACUGGUCGGCUUGAAUAUGGAAGAGGGUCGCGGAAUUCCCGGUGUAGAGGUGAAAUUCGUAGAUAUCGGGAGGAGCACCAGUGGCGAAGGCGGCGACCUGGGCCAAUAUUGACGCUGAGGUGCGAAAGCGUGGGGAGCAAACAGG
rnacentral:rRNA from 1 species